CGGGGUGUAGUAUAGUGGCAGUACGUAUCCAUGGGGUGGAUAUAGUCCGAGUUCGAUUCUCGGCACCCCGA
rnacentral:tRNA from 1 species